GCGGGUUUAGCUCAGUUGGGAGAGCGUCAGACUGAAGUCAAACUUCAAUCCUCACCAAAUCAAGUGACAUCUGAAGGUCGUGUGUUCGAUCCACACAAACCGCA
rfam:Fusarium oxysporum f. sp. cubense race 1 unplaced genomic scaffold scaffold533, whole genome shotgun sequence.